rnacentral:lncRNA from 1 species
ACUCGAGAAUCUGGGAAGUAUUAUUCAAAUUUAGGCUUUUUUUUCCUCAGUUGUUGAUUAGUUUGUGCGUGCUAGGGAAGUAUUUUUGUCAGCAAUGGAGAUUUUUACUUAUAUUGUUGAGGAUGGAACCGAAUUCUUUGUUCUUUGUUUGUCUCUUUAUGUUUUUGUUUUUGUUAUUUUUGGCGGUGGGGUUUGCUUUUAAGGUUGUUGUCUCCAAGAAGAGAAAGAGUGAGUGCGAGAGUCAGAGAGAGGAUAGAAUCCUUUUGAGGAUGAAUGAAGCUUUUGGGUAUUUCAGAUUUCUUUCGAGGAUUUGAUGUUUGUUUCUGCGGUGUUUUACCCUUAGUUUCGUAAACAUAUAACGAAGAUAUGAUGAUUUUACUGGAAAUUUUCUUGCAUUAAUAGAAUUUUGUGUAUUUAUCUAGGUUAUGCGGGCUUCUAAUAUAUUGCUUUAGAGGUUCCUUACUUCUAAUAUGUCUUGAUAAACUUGUUAUUAGUAAAACAAGUGAUUUUUUUUUAUAUUUUUCAUUAACAAAGUGAUCGCUCUUCUUGCAGGAAUAAGCAUUAGAAUUGGUACGGUAUUGGAGGGGCGUUUUUCUUGAAUUCGAAAUUCCAAAAGCUUUCACGAUUUUGUUGGUGAGUUUGGAGUUUGUGUGGUGUAUCCGUAGAGAUUUGCGUCUCUGGGGUUUAGGGAUUCAUUAGAGGUAAAAUGGAGAAGUCCCUGUUGUCCAUCCUGAUGGAAACU